rnacentral:tRNA from 1 species
GGGGACGUGGCGGAAUUGGUAGACGCGCAGGUCUCAAAAACCUGUUUCCGCAAGGAAGUGUGGGUUCGAUUCCCACCAUCCCCACCA